UUUUUUUUUUUUUAUUUCUUUUUUACAUUUAAACCUAAGUAGAUAAGUGCGGGAAGAUCUACUUUGGGGCGCGUGGAUCUCUUAAAGUGUAAGGUGAAGAGAUAUUUCUUUUUUCUUUUCUCGCGCGUUUUCCGUGGUUUCCACUUCCUCGUGGAUCGCUCUCUUUGCUCGGUAAGAUCGUUUGAAAGAGAUCACAAGACGAUAGAAAGCUUCUUCUUCUUCUUUUUCUUCUACUUUUUCUUUUAACUUCUUCUAACUUUUUCUAUCUCAUUCUCGAAAGGGAGAAAGAGAGAGAGAGAGAGAGAGAGAAAGAGAGAGAGAGAGAAAGAAAGAGAACGGGAGAUGUUAAACUUUUCGUCAUGAUCGAGUUUUGACAAGAUGUGACCUAAUUAAAGAAAGAAGUAAGAAAAUUGGGGGUAAAAAACGUCAAAUCGAAAGAAAGAGAUUAAGAGAAGAAAAAUGAAAGAAAAAGAAAAAGAAAAAAAAAAGGAUAAAAUUAAAAAAUUAGAGACGGAAUAGAGUAAAAAGAAAUAGAAUGGAAAGUUAGAAAAGAGGAUAGAAAAGAGACAGCUAUACGACAACCGAAGUAAGAAGAAUUUUCAUUUUUUGAUAACGCAGAAAGUUAUUAUGCAAAUAACUAAGAAAAUAGAUAUCGAUCGAUUUCUCGUAACAAUAAUGGUAGCUACGUCCUUCUCUUUCUCUUUUUGUAUAUAUACGUAUAUAUAUAUAUAGCAUAUAAAUACAUACACACACAUAUACAUACAUAUACACACAUACACAUAUUAUAUAUAUAUAUAUAUCUUUCUUUCUCUUUCUCUCUUCCUCCCUCUCUCUUUCUCUCUUUCUCUUCUCACAAGGAGAAAUGCGGGUACGAAGGAAACACGUCACGUGGCUCGUCCCUUCGUUGGCGAGUAUCGCACGUGACGCAACGAGACGCGACGCGAAACGACGAGACGCGACGCGACGGGACGCGAGUUCGGCUUCUCGCGAAGAGGAAAAAGUGCCUUCGAGAGUCGUGAGGGAGGAACGACCGGGAGAAAAAAAAAGACGCACGGACAAACAAAGAAAAAAAAGAGAAGCAAUAUCGUAUAGAUUCACGAGUGAAUUUCAUUCGACUACGUUUUAUCGAACGAGGAAAUCGUCGUCGGCCAUGAGAGUUCCUUGGCGUCGUAAUCGACGAUAGAACGAAGAGAAGAUCGAGGAGAAAGAAAAGAAGAAGGAAAUAGAAGAGGAGGAAAAAGAAAAUGGGGAAGAAUGAAUAUAUACAAGCAUCCGAUGUAUUAUUAUCUACAAAGCCAUUGGAAACGAUCAGCGAUGAACAUACAUAUGUAUAUUGGAUGGAAGCUGAGUUAAAGAGCCAUGUUGCAAGGAGUUAAAGCUAGCUCGAAGGACCGAAAGGAUGAGGCCAAAAGGCGGCUGAGGGGGCGAAGGACCAAUAAAAGGAGGUAGAUGUCGGUGUAAUGCAGACCGACAGUGGCGCUCCCGGCCAUCGCUAAUUUGCCGCUAAGUGCCCGGCUUUGUUUCCGUGUGUUGAUCCCCCAUCGUUUGCAAUAUCCUGGAUUCGAGACGAUGUAAGUACUUACGUAUCACUGUGCUUAAGAGAGAAAGCCAAAUAACCCGCGGUGUCAUGCUGGUCUAUUCGAUAUCCCAACCCUAUAACUCCCACUCCUUUACCU